rnacentral:rRNA from 1 species
CUCAGUUCGGAUCGGAGUCUGCAACCCGACUCCGUGAAGCUGGAUUCGCUAGUAAUCGCGCAUCAGCCACGGCGCGGUGAAUACGUUCCCGGGCCUUGUACACACCGCCCGUCAAGCCAUGGAAGCCGGGAGUGCCUGAAGUGCGUGACCGCAAGGAGCGUCCUAAGGCAAUACCGGUGACUGGGGCUAAGUCGUAACAAGGUAAC